AUAUCAAUAAGCGGAGGAAAAGAAACCAACAGGGAUUGCCCUAGUAACGGCGAGUGAAGCGGCAACAGCUCAAAUUUGAAAUCUGGCCCUCGGGUCCGAAUUGUAAUUUGUAGAGGAUGCUUUUGGUGAGGUACCUUCCGAGUUCCCUGGAACGGGACGCCAUAGAGGGUGAGAGCCCCGUCUGGUUGGAUACCGAUCCUCUGUAAAGCUCCUUCGACGAGUCGAGUAGUUUGGGAAUGCUGCUCUAAAUGGGAGGUAUAUGUCUUCUAAAGCUAAAUAUUGGCCAGAGACCGAUAGCGCACAAGUAGAGUGAUCGAAAGAUGAAAAGCACUUUGAAAAGAGAGUUAAAAAGUACGUGAAAUUGUUGAAAGGGAAGCGCUCAUGACCAGACUUGGGCUUGGUUGAUCAUCCAGGGUUCUCCCUGGUGCACUCUUCCAGCCCAGGCCAGCAUCAGUUCGCUGUGGGGGAUAAAGGCUUUGGGAAUGUGGCUCCUCCGGGAGUGUUAUAGCCCAUUGUGUAAUACCCUGUGGUGGACUGAGGUUCGCGCAUCUGCAAGGAUGCUGGCGUAAUGGUCAUCAGCGACCCGUCUUGAAACACGGACCAAGGAGUCGUCUUCGUAUGCGAGUGUUCGGGUGUUAAACCCCUACGCGUAAUGAAAGUGAACGCAGGUGAGAGCUUCGGCGCAUCAUCGACCGAUCCUGAUGUUCUCGGAUGGAUUUGAGUAAGAGCAUACGGGGCCGGACCCGAAAGAAGGUGAACUAUGCCUGUAUAGGGUGAAGCCAGAGGAAACUCUGGUGGAGGCUCGCAGCGGUUCUGACGUGCAAAUCGAUCGUCAAAUAUGGGCAUGGGGGCGAAAGACUAAUCGAACCUUCUAGUAGCUGGUUUCCGCC
rnacentral:rRNA from 1 species